AUAUCUCAAUCCACACUAGGAUGUUGUGGCUUGGACUUGGGGGUCGUGCCGGCUCUGACUUUUGUGGUCUGCUCCCCUGAAAUGCAUGAGUGGUGCUGACCUCUCAUUGGAUGUGAUAGCUCGUCUGCAUCUGGUGAAAUGGGGGGGGGGGUGACGCUGCUACACUAGGGCUUUUUUUUUUUUUGACAA
rnacentral:misc_RNA from 1 species